rnacentral:rRNA from 1 species
GCAGUCGAGCGAGACCUUCGGGUCUAGCGGCGGACGGGUGAGUAACGCGUGGGAACGUGCCCUUCUCUACGGAAUAGUCCCGGGAAACUGGGUUUAAUACCGUAUACGCCCUUCGGGGGAAAGAUUUAUCGGAGAAGGAUCGGCCCGCGUUAGAUUAGGUAGUUGGUGGGGUAAUGGCCUACCAAGCCUACGAUCUAUAGCUGGUUUGAGAGGAUGAUCAGCCACACUGGGACUGAGACACGGCCCAGACUCCUACGGGAGGCAGCAGUGGGGAAUCUUAGACAAUGGGGGCAACCCUGAUCUAGCCAUGCCGCGUGAGUGAUGAAGGCCUUAGGGUCGUAAAGCUCUUUCGCUGGGGAAGAUAAUGACUGUACCCAGUAAAGAAACCCCGGCUAACUCCGUGCCAGCAGCCGCGGUAAUACGGAGGGGGUUAGCGUUGUUCGGAAUUACUGGGCGUAAAGCGCGCGUAGGCGGAUUGGAAAGUUGGGGGUGAAAUCCCGGGGCUCAACCUCGGAACUGCCUCCAAAACUCCCAGUCUUGAGUUCGAGAGAGGUGAGUGGAACUCCGAGUGUAGAGGUGAAAUUCGUAGAUAUUCGGAAGAACACCAGUGGCGAAGGCGGCUCACUGGCUCGAUACUGACGCUGAGGUGCGAAAGUGUGGGGAGCAAACAGGAUUAGAUACCCUGGUAGUCCACACCGUAAACGAUGAAUGCCAGUCGUCGGCAA